GACGAACGCUGGCGGCGUGCCUAAUACAUGCAAGUUGAGCGCUGAAGGUUGGUACUUGUACCAACUGGAUGAGCAGCGAACGGGUGAGUAACGCGUGGGGAAUCUGCCUUUGAGCGGGGGACAACAUUUGGAAACGAAUGCUAAUACCGCAUAAAAACUUUAAACACAAGUUUUAAGUUUGAAAGAUGCAAUUGCAUCACUCAAAGAUGAUCCCGCGUUGUAUUAGCUAGUUGGUGAGGUAAAGGCUCACCAAGGCGAUGAUACAUAGCCGACCUGAGAGGGUGAUCGCCCACAUUGGGACUGAAACACGGCCCAAACUCCUACGGGAGGCAGCAGUAGGGAAUCUUCGGCAAUGGACGAAAGUUUGACCGAGCAACGCCGCGGGAGGGAAGAAGGUUUUCGGAUCGUAAAACUCUGUUGGUAAAGAAGAACGUUGGGGAGAGUGGAAAGCUCAUCAAGGGACGGAAACUACCCAGAAAGGGACGGCUAACUACGU
rnacentral:rRNA from 1 species